UGCCAGCCGCCGCGGUAAUACGUACUGUGCGAACGUUAUUCGGAAUCACUGGGCUUAAAGGGUGCGUAGGCGGCUUUGUAGGUCAGAUGUGAAAGCCCACGGCUCAACCGUGGAAUUGCGUUUGAAACCACAAAGCUUGAGGGAGAUAGAGGAGAGCGGAACUGAUGGUGGAGCGGUGAAAUGCGUUGAUAUCAUCAGGAACACCGGUGGCGAAAGCGCAUCACUGGAUCUUUUCUGACGCUGAGGUGCGAAAGUGUGGGGAGCAAACAGGAUUAGAUA
rnacentral:rRNA from 1 species